CGUAGCAAUACGUGGCAUACGGCUCAGUAACACGUAGUCAACAUGCCCAGGGGACGUGGAUAACCUCGGGAAACUGAGGAUAAACCGCGAUAGGCCAAGAUUUCUGGAAUGAAUCAUGGCUUAAAUCUAUAUGGCCCCUGGAUUGGACUGCGGCCGAUCAGGCUGUUGGUGAGGUAAUGGCCCACCAAACCUGUAACCGGUACGGGCUCUGAGAGGAGGAGCCCGGAGAUGGGCACUUAGACAAGGGCCCAGGCCCUAUGGGGCGCAGCAGGCGCGAAACCUCUGCAAUAAGCGAAAGCUUGACAGGGUUACUCUGAGUGAUUUCCGCUAAGGAAGUCUUUUGGCACCUGUAAAAAUGGUGCAGAAUAAGGGGUGGGCAAGUCUGGUGUCAGCCGCCGCGGUAAUACCAGCACCCCGAGUGGUCGGGACGAUUAUUGGGCCUAAAGCAUCCGUAGCCGGUCCUGCAAGUCCUCCGUUAAAUCCACCCGCUCAACGGUUGGGCCGCGGGGGAUACUACAGGGCUAGGAGGCGGGAGAGGCAAGCGGUACUCGAUGGGUAGGGGUAAAAUCCACUGAUCCAUUGAAGACCACCAGUGGCGAAGGCGGCUUGCCAGAACGCGCUCGACGGUGAGGGAUGAAAGCUGGGGGAGCAAACCGGAUUAGAUACCCGGGUAGUCCCAGCUGUAAACG
rnacentral:rRNA from 1 species